rnacentral:rRNA from 1 species
UACAGAGGGGGCAAGCGUUAUUCGGAAUUAUUGGGCGUAAAGGGCGCGUAGGCGGCUUUUCAAGUGACGGGUGAAAUCCCUCGGCUUAACCGAGGAGCUGCCUGUCAGACUGGAAGGCUUGAGACCGGGAGAGGUGAGUGGAAUUCCCAGUGUAGCGGUGAAAUGCGUAGAUAUUGGGAGGAACACCAGUGGCGAAGGCGGCUCACUGGACCGGAACUGACGCUGAGGCGCGAAAGCGUGGGGAGCGAACAGG